GACGAACGCUGGCGGCGUGCCUAAUACAUGCAAGUCGAACGGAGUGGCGCACGGGUGAGUAAUAUAUAGCUAAUCUGCCCCUUGCUGGAGGACAACAGUUAGAAAUGACUGCUAAUACUCCAUAGCAAGGGAUGAGACUAUAUCGUAUCAGCUAGUCGGUGGGGUAACGGCCUACCGAGGCUAUGACGCGUAACUGGUCUGAGAGGAUGAUCAGUCACAUUGGAACUGAGACACGGUCCAAGCUCCUACGGGAGGCAGCGGUAGGUGAUAUUGCGCAAUGGGGGAGUACGUGGCGGGGCAACGCGGCGUGGAGGAUGACACUUUUCGGAGAGUAAGCUCCUUUUGUUAGGGAAGCGGUACCUAACGAAUAAGCACCGGCUAACUCCGUGCCAGCAGCCGCGGUAAUAC
rnacentral:rRNA from 1 species